AUUGUCAUUUCAUCCAAGAAUGCAAGGAAAAAAAAUUUUAAUUUCAAUUUCAAUGUAUAAUUUUUAUUUUCGCCUAAUUUUUCAGGGAUCAAAAGACGCAAACAAAACAUCUUUAUACGUAUAUUCAAAGAAUAAUUUGUAUUAAGCAAACCUUAGUCAAUACAGGUGAUUCUGGAUAUGCUCUAAGUCAGUUGAUGUUGACAUCCAUCCAAAAUGCAUUACCUGCUACUCUAGAAGAAAUAUUCAUCACAGAAGAACUGAAUCCCCUAUAGAGAGAUGCAAUGGGAUUUUAAAAUGGAGACAUAGAAUUUUACACUCCAACCAUGGCUGAAUAAAAUAAAUAAUAAUGCAUGCACUGUGCUGCACAAUUUGUGCAUUGGUAUGCAUAAUGUACCCCCUAUUGGUUUAGGUGAUGAAGAAAACAAUCAUAUAGAUAUUGAUUAUGGAAAUGUCAAUGGAAUAAAUAUAGAAGGUAGAAUUCGUGAUAGAGAUCUGCUCACAGGAAGAAGACUCCAACAAAUGCUAAUUCAAAUUAAUUUUAGAAAUUAAUUCAAUAAGUUUGGAAAAAUGUAUGUUCUGUGUUAUUUGUACUUUAUGUAAAUAUUGUUCUGAAGCUAUUUUCUUGUGGCAUUUUUAUGAUUAACUAUUUAGAUGGGAAAUAAGCCACAAUUAAAUUGAAAAAAAUAAUUUUAUUAACGUUUCGACGUCCAAAUCGGGUGUCGUUGUCAAAAUACAAAAGACUACUAAAUUAAACAAAAAUGUUGCUAAGUAAAAAAUUCUUCUAAUAAUUUAUUUAAUCUGACUCAUUUAUAUUGGCAAUUCAGACAUAUAUUAUACAUUUUAAAGUAGAAGACUUUAAAAUGAUAUUGCCAAUAUUUAUGAGUUGCGUUCCUGGGACGACUUAACUGAAAGAUAGUUCAUUCGAUUACAUGAAAUCAACCUCAACUCAAGAAUAUCCAUCACAAAAAAAAAAUCAUAGCAUGUGAUCUGUCUUUAAAAAGACAACCAAAUGCAAAAAAAGUGAUUUACUAUGGAAUCUCUAACGCGAGAAUUUUACUGUCAUCGUUGCAUUUGGUUGUCUUUUUAAAGACAGAUCACAUGCUAUGAUUUUUUUUUUGUGACGGAUAUUCUUGAGUUGAGGUUGAUUUCAUGUAAUCGAAUGAACUAUCUUUCAGUAAAUUCGUCCCAGGAACGCAACUCAUAAAUAUUGGCAAUAUCAUUUUAAAGUCUUCUACUUUAAAAUGUAUAAUAUAUGUCUGAAUUGCCAAUAUAAAUGAGUCAAAUUAAAUAAAUUACUAGAAGAAUUUUUUACUUAGCAACAACAUUUUUGUUUAAUUUAGUAGUAUUUUGUAUUUUGACAACGACAUCCGAGUUGGGUGUCGAAACGUUAAUAAAAUUAUUUAUUUAAUUGUGGCUUAUUUCCUAUCUAAAUAGUUAAUUAUGUAAAUAUGUAGUGUGUUAGCUGUUGUUUUAUGAACAUCAUAAAACAUUAUGUGAAAUAUUGACUGUAUGUUAUCCAUGACACAGAACAAAAGUUAAAAUGCAUGUUUUUACAUUUGUAGCCUUUUAAUAACCUUAUCAUAAUAUAAUAAAAUAAAUGCAAAGAAAUUUAUGUCUCAGUAAGUUGGAACCAUGGACGUAUAAAUAAAGAUAUAUCUUUAUUUAUACGUCCAUGGUUGGAACCAUAUGAAAAACUUUUUUAUUAUCAAUUUUAGGAACAAGUUAUUCUUUAUAAAAGCUUUGCAUGAUUUGAAACCUUUAGACAACCAUCAAAUAUAAAAAAUUUUCAGUUGUAUACUAGGUUUGUCAAAAAAUAUGAAUUUUAUUAAAGAGUAAACUACCUUUCAUUUUUCACAAUAUCCAAAAUUAUUAUUAACCCUAAAACCACGAAGUGGGGUCACCUGUGACCCCACCGCUCAAAUUUUUUUGACAUGCGAGUUACUCCGAUGAUACGUAUGUUUUUAUGAAAGUUCACAUUUAGUCGUAAAUGCAGCACAUUUCUGAUUUUUGACCCCACCUGAGGAUAGAAAAGGCUGCUAUAUUUGUGUUUACUGUGCAGAACAUCAAUUUAGUAUUUGUAAAGAUUGUAAAUAAUAUAAAAAUAAACUAUUCAACUUCUAA
rnacentral:lncRNA from 1 species